AAGGGUUCCAUGGGGAUACAACAGCAGUAGGACGACCAUUACUCCAUCAAUUGCAAGCUCCAGACUCGAAGGAGGCUGUAUGCAAGGCACCAAGGUGCAUGGUGCUCGCAAGCGACGAACGGAGGCUGUUCGACAUCGGCUACACAAACCACCAUUGAGCUCCAGGUCUAUGAAAUUUGAAGUUCGAAGCUGUAUAGCCCUACUCAGCAAAGAGCCGUAUAGACUGUAAAUAUUGUAAUAUUGUAAUAGUAGGCAUAUUUGGGUUGUAAUACACUAUGUACAGAUUGUGGUAGACUUAGUUGUAUUUGGUAAACUAUAUUUGUACGACUUAGUUGUAUUUGGUGAACUAUAUUUGUACUGUUCCGUCUGAAAUAUUGACUAUGUAUGUGAUUUGAAAA